GUCGAAACGGGCCGCUAGGGGGGAGAGAAAUAAAUCGGUGACGAAUUUGGCCUUAUGACCCGUAAUGUUCUGGGCCGUGACCCAUGAAACUCUUGAAAGUGACCCAGACGAAACGACCCUAAGACUUAGCGACCCAAGCGGCCCAGAAGUUUCCGCACGUGUGAGUUCGAGAUUUAUUUAUUUUAUUUUUUUGGGUGACCGGUAGCAAAGGUUAAAGGUAAUAUUAACCAUUCCUUUUCCCGCCGUUCACUGUUUUCUGAUAUUUGUGGUAAUAUUAAUUAAACUAAUAUGUUAUAAAACGCUAACUGGGUAAUGGUGAGAAGCAACUAAGAACUGGUGUACAACUAAAAGAAGCAACCCUACGAUAAGAAGAUAUUCCCAUCCUCUGAGGCCGUCGAUGCUUAUCCACCAUAACUGAAAAGGAUGGAAACAAUUAGCGGUGGUCGGAACGUCGGGUCAAGUAGUGGUGGCACAGGUAGUAAGGAAAUCAGGACCAACGCCGGCGAAGGUACAGAGUUUGAGCUCGAAGUUUCUGUAUUUGUUUUUACAAUUGUGUGCUUCCUCUAUUUGGCAAAUGACACUAACGGGUGCUCAUGCUUGGACCGUAGGUCUGUGUAAUUCUUGCAUUGUGGUUAUGGCUGGGAGGUGGAUAAUGUUUGACGAUGG
rnacentral:lncRNA from 1 species